rnacentral:rRNA from 1 species
GACGGAGGAUGCAAGUGUUAUCCGGAAUCACUGGGCGUAAAGCGUCUGUAGGUGGUUUAAUAAGUCAACUGUUAAAUCUUGAGGCUCAACCUCAAAAUCGCAGUCGAAACUAUUAGGCUAGAGUAUAGUAGGGGUAAAGGGAAUUUCCAGUGGAGCGGUGAAAUGCGUAGAGAUUGGAAAGAACACCGAUGGCGAAGGCACUUUACUGGGCUAUUACUGACACUAAGAGACGAAAAGCUAGGGGAGCAAAUGGG